UACGAAGGGGGCUAGCGUUGCUCGGAAUUACUGGGCGUAAAGGGAGCGUAGGCGGACAUUUAAGUCAGAGGUGAAAUCCCGGAGCUUAACUUCGGAACUGCCCUUGAUACUGGAUGUCUUGAGUGUGAGAGAGGUAUGUGGAACUCCGAGUGUAGAGGUGAAAUUCGUAGAUAUUCGGAAGAACACCAGUGGCGAAGGCGACAUACUGGCUCAUUACUGACGCUGAGGCUCGAAAGCGUGGGGAGCAAACAGG
rnacentral:rRNA from 1 species